rnacentral:lncRNA from 1 species
UAAGGAAGAGGUUGCGCACGUAGGCGGGCAGGUCCGUGGGCACCUCGGUCAGAUUGCGGUUAACGCACUUGACUGUGCGCGCUGCCUCGGAGCACUCGCACAGCGCGGGGCACUGGUCCGGCAGCGGGGGCUGGGCGGACACGGCGGAAGCCAGGAACGGCGCCGAGGAGGAGAAGGAGGAUGCCGAGGAGGUGGGAGAAGACGAGGAGACCCAGCCCAGGAGUACCAGCGCUAGUCGCGCCAGCCGCAGACGCCCGUCCCCGGCGGCGGGGCCCCGGGAGCACCCCCCAGGCAUCGCGGCUCGCGUUUCCCCGGAGCUGGGCUGGGACGGCGCCCGCUCCGAAGGCUCGGGAGGCUGGGCCCGGAGGGCGCGAGCCGGCGGAAGCGUCUGGAAAAAAAAAACUUUCCUCUCGUGGAACCGAGGGAGUGGCGCCGCAGCCGGAACUUGGCUAACCCCCUCGCCACCGGGCGCUUCCCUCAGGGGCCGAUUCCCCCGCCCCUUCCCUCCAGAAAGUACGCACGGCGGGUCGGGACGCUCCGCUCCGCGCUCCUGCUCCCGCUCCUCUUCCUGCCGCCGCCCUGGUGCCACCUCUUCGCCUCUUGUUGGCGCCCCUCGCUGGAUCCUCUGAGGGACCUGGGACAAGCAGGAGAGAGGCGUGAACAGCGGUGGCUGCCGCGGCUUCCGGAGUGCAAAAACCGGCCUUUUCGAGUCUAGUCGUCUCCAGUCUGUCCCAGAGACCUCCUUCCAAAAGCCCGCCCCGGCCUCGCCUCCCCAACCCCUCCGGUCACUUUUACUCCGGAGGGGGACGCGCAUCCGACACCCAGACCGCAAAGUCUUCCUUCUUCCCUGGCCCACACUAAAUAAACCCGACCGGCCUCCCGCCCUCCGCCUUUCCCGAGGAGACUCGUCUCCCGCGUCUAACUUACCGCUUAAUCCCCAAUUCCUUCCCUACCAAACUUCUCCCUCUCCCGUUCCUUCCUGCACCGCCUCGGCGGAAGGUCGGCCUCCGGGUGUCUCCGCCCCCGCCCAGACCUCUCCACCAGGUCCCGGUUAGGAUGCGAGGGAAGUUUCAGGUUACAGGACUUUUUGAUCUCUUUUUGUACCUUCUCGCAUUAGCAGGAAGUGGAGCUACAACUGUCGCCCCCCAGCCCGCGCCCCGCCAGCCCCUCGGAUCUCAAAGGGGUUCAAGUCAUCUCCAAAGAGGAGGGGAGAGUCUGGGAACAAAGCAGCAGUGGGACUCGGGGUACAGUGGCAACCCGAACCAACCCUACUCUCCACCCGAGGAUGGGGAGGGGCCCCAACGACGCCUCCCGGGUCUCUCCCAGGCCGCGGGCUCCCACUGCUCACCUCCGCGUCCGCCGCCUCCAGAACCAACUCUGAGUUCCACCAGAGUAGCGACGACUUCCCGGCUCCGCGUUGCGGGCGCCGACUCUCUUCGCACCCCAGCCCCUGGCCCAACCUCCCAACCUCCGCAGCUGGGAAAAACCAACCCGGGGGGCGGGGGAGGGCCAGGACUGUCGGGGAGAUUCCCGACGCGCGGCCAACCUCGGCAGCCGUAGGUAGGGGGAUUUAAGAAGAGAGACUAGGGGAGCUGGGCUGCGCGCCUCCUCCUGGUGGAAAUUAACGAGGAAUGUGCCGGAAAAGGUGAGGGAAUCCCUUUCUCUCCCCCCUCCCCGACAUCCUUGGGUGGUUCCUCAUUUUGCAUACUGUAUUUACCUUGGACUGGAGCAAAACCGCUGGUGAAUCUCGUGGAAUUCACCCUGAUUCAGGCACCUUUGGCAGUGACGAGAUAGAUUUAGGCAUGACAGAGCAGCGCGAAGCAGCAGCAGAAAGAAAUGAGCUGAAAAUCUACUGCGGCAGCAGCAAAGGCACGGCAGGUUGUAUGGAAGCUUCAGAAGCUCUCCCCAUCAAAGUGGUACUUGAGGCCGCAAACUUCAGAUUUAGGUGUAAUUAAUGCCUUCCCGCCUGUCCCCCCCGCCCCCUCACUUCUUGGGUAGUGAUGGAACUUGUGAAGAGAGCGCGCCAACUUUAAGAGAGAGAGAGAGAGAAAGAAAAAAAAAAGAUUAGUGGAGAGGAGAUUCAUUCCUGAUUCAUUAGCUUUUCUCUUACCAAAAUUAAAAGCAGAUGGAAGAGAAAGGCAGCCAAAGGCAUCCCAGAAACAAAAGGCAAAUAGCAAAGACUUGAGUCUCCCGGAAAGCGGACCCGCCCCCCUCCCCAGAUGUAGCGCGGUGUGUCAAGUCACUUCUGUGGAGAAAGCUCCAAGGAUGAGGAGUGGGGAUUGCAGGAGCUGACCUGGGAGAGAAGUUUGGUUUCAAAGUCGAUUGUCCCAGGGGGCAUCUGGCAGAUGGUGAUGGAGAGGAUGGGGUUGGGGAGAGGGACAAAUUGAAUGGUUGGUUACCGGAAGGAUCUGUUAUUAUACCAGACAGGUUUUGGGUUCUGAAAGCCCUAUCGUUGCUCUCUGUAACUCCACAUCCCCUUUGUCCCAAUUAAAUAAUUUCCCCGAAGGGAUAAGAAGGUUCUUCCAGGCUUCUUCAUUUUAGAGAGAAAAUGGCAAUUAGGGAAAACAUGGUUCGGAAAUUUAAGACCUGGUCGUAUUAAAAAAGAUCAAAUAAGGAUCCUGAGGCUUGUGCCUGGGACAUGUGCCUUUAGUGUGAAGAAAGACCCCAACUCUCCAACGGACGCCUGAUUACUUUUAUAGAAAGAGAUAGUCUGCAAAGCCGACAGCAAAAAUGGCUCAGACAAAAGCUGAAAACACUGGAAACUGCAGAGAUUUGUGCACAAAAGCUGGUUUCAUUAAUUUGCAUCUUCAGCACGUUUAUCUACAUCUCUUUUCUUAUUUUUAAAAGUGUUUUGCAACAUGAAUGUAAAACACUUUGAAAAAGAAUCUCUAAAGCUGUAGUCAUGUUCUGUAUCCGGAUUGUGGUGGUGGUUACAUAAACCUAUACAACGUGUUAUAACUCAUAGAACUUUGUAAACCAAAAGAGUCAAUUUUACUGUAUGAUAAGUUUAAAAAUAAAAUUAAUUACUC